GGAUCACUCGGCUCGUGCGUCGAUGAAGAGUGCAGCUAACUGUGUGAANUGAUGUGAAUCGCAGACUGCUUCGAGCAUCGACAUCUUGAACGCAAAUGGCGGUCGUUGGCUAGCCUUCGGCCACGUUUGAUCGAGAGUCGG
rnacentral:rRNA from 1 species